rnacentral:rRNA from 1 species
AUUGAACGCUGGCGGCAGGCCUAACACAUGCAAGUCGAACGAGUGGCGGACGGGUGAGUAAUGUCUGGGAAACUGCCUGAUGGAGGGGGAUAACUACUGGAAACGGUAGCUAAUACCGCAUACCAUCAGAUGUGCCCAGAUGGGAUUAGCUAGUAGGUGGGGUAACGGCUCACCUAGGCGACGAUCCCUAGCUGGUCUGAGAGGAUGACCCGCAACACGGUAACUGAGACACGGUCCAGACUCCUACGGGAGGCAGCAGUGGGGAAUAUGGAACAAUGGGCGCAAGCCUGAUGCAGCCAUGCCGCGUGUAUGAAGAAGGCCUUCGGGUUGUAAAGUACUUCCAGCGGGGAGGCGUUACCCGCAGAAGAAGCACCGGCGAACUCCGUGCCAGCAGACGCGGUAAUAC